CCAGCAACCCGAUCUUGUGUUUAUAGUUUAUGGUUUACAUUUCUCUUUGUAAGGCAAAUUGGUCUUAUGCAAGUUGUAGAUCUACUUGGCAUGAAGCUUUUGUGUUCAUUGAAAUCUAAAUCAGGAAAAAACUUUAUUGGAGGUGUUUGUUAGUUCAAAUAUGUGUGAGCUGUUACUAAAUCAGGAAAAAACUUUAUUGGAGGUGUUUGUUAGUUCAAAUAUGAGUGAGCUGUUAUUACUUACGUGGAGAUUUUCUCAAAUAUGAUUUUAUAUCACUUGAUUUCUUCCCAUGAUCCAGUUUUUGAGUUCUUGAGAAUUGGUUUUUAUGCCUUUGUCCAUCCCAUGAUUUUGGUGCUUUGUAUUUAACUAAACAGGUCCAAGAGAAGAAAGUAAAGAAAAUUUGUGAAGCUAAUGUGGAUCCUUUGAAAGGUGCUAUAAACGGAAGCAUUGCCAGUUCAAGCAUUUCUUCAAGCCCUAAUCAACAUAUUGCUAAUGGGGGCUAUCUAGACCAAUCUCUCAACUGUUUGAAAAAUGAUACAUCCUUUCUACCUGCAGGCAUUCCCUCACUAAGAUUACCAGUGGUAGUAGUACUUAAACUAAGCUAUAUUUACACUUGCAUUAUCAAGGUUUCUGUAGGAUCCAUCAAUUUUUGGGUGUCCUCUACAUCAAUGGAAUUAAUGUGCUCUCUCUCUCUCUCUCUCUCUGAGUUUGAUGUAUUCUGUGAAAGAAAUUGAUCACUGCUGAAUAAUUAAAUUAUUUUAGGUGCUCAUUCUCAAACGCACUGAAACAUUCGCUAUGAAUUUUCUCUACAAAUAUAUUUCUGUGAGUUACAUGUAUAUUUGAAAAUUUUUUAUUUGUUAUGACUUUCUCUCAAGGGUUUAGAGCCUUGGAGCCUGGUUGAUUACAAACCUUAGUCUAAAUUUUGCAUUCACAAGUCUGCAAGUUCACAUGGACAAUCAGUAGGCAGUCCUAUAAUACACAAGUUUUAGCUGUCCUUGUUUAAUGAAUUAUCUGUUUUGUUAUUUACUCAAUUUUCUUUCUAACACUUUGGUUAUACUAUCUGUAGGCUGCAAGCAAUGAGAUCAAACUUGUUGCAAGAUGUAGAAGAACAUAUACCCAUGCGCACGACUACCAUAUCAAUUCUAUUUCAAAUAACAGGCAUGGAUAUCCAUAUUUUNUGUCAAUAGUUAAUGACUACCAAUUUUUUAUGUAUUUUGAGUUUUUAUUUGAAACAUUUCUCUAAUUGUGAGUUUUGACUGCCUCAUUACCCCCUGAUGUUAACACUGUUGAUUUAUUCAAUUCCUUCUGACUUUAAGGCCUCAAGCUAGAGGAGGGAAAGCAAGGAUAUUUUUUCAAUUUCAUGAAAAUUUAUAUGAACUUAAAGCUUAUUUAUCAGAUCAGUGAUGGAUGGAUUGGUUCAUCAUAUGAACACCUGGAGAGUGCAGUGAAGGAAGAAAACAAAAGUUCAUUUCUCAAGUAUUUUUCACGACUUACUGAGAGGGCAAUUGAUACAGCAUAAAUGCAUUGAUUCAUGGUCAUGCACAUGAUGCCUUUCUUUCGUCCUUUGUUCAUAUACCCUCCUUCACCAGUCUCUUCCCUGGUUUGUCCUUUCUUCUAGGACCCAAUUUGAUAGCUGAGCGUCUUUUGAGAAAGUCGAAGUUGAUAUCGCUGAGGAAUAUGAAUCACUGGCUUAAGCUAUUUCUUGGUGCUUCUUUACGAGAAAUAUAUAAAUAAACUUUUUUUUUAUGGUUUUCACACAGUUGAUUUAUCUCUGCAAACAUUCAUAAUAGAAUUCCAGUAUUGUCCAUCUAACUAAAAAUUAGUGAUUAUAGGCCUUUGUUAGCCCAUUUAUUCCACUCGACGAAGCCUUAACCUCUGAAGGUGCAUAAAUUUGGAUCCUUGAAUAUGUUUAAUCCCUUACAUAUACAACAUGUGAUUACGCUGUUGACACGUUAUUCAAUAACAUUUUUGUAAACUCUUCAUGAGAACUGCAAUUUGUUCUUUCGUUUGGUAAUGUGAUUUGUUGAAACUCGCCAAUUAAUAUCCAUCUUUAUUGCUUUCCAGUGAUGGAGAAACAUUU
rnacentral:lncRNA from 1 species